rnacentral:rRNA from 1 species
UACGGAGGGUGCGAGCGUUGUUCGGAAUUAUUGGGCGUAAAGCGCGUGUAGGCGGCUCCUUAAGUCUGAUGUGAAAGCCCCGGGCUCAACCUGGGAAGUGCAUUGGAAACUGGGGAACUUGAAUACGGGAGAGGGUAGUGGAAUUCCUGGUGUAGGAGUGAAAUCCGUAGAUAUCAGGAGGAACACCGGUGGCGAAGGCGGCUGCCUGGACCGAUAUUGACGCUGAGACGCGAAAGCGUGGGGAG